GGAGUUUGGGCCGUGUCUCAGUCCCAAUGUGGCCGUCCGCCCUCUCAGGCCGGCUACUGAUCGUCGCUUUGGUGGGCCGUUACCCCGCCAACUGGCUAAUCAGACGCGGAUCCAUCUUUCACCGAUAAAUCUUUCCUCAUAUCACCAUGCGGUGACAUGAGCGUAUGCGGUAUUACCAGCCGUUUCCAGCUGCUAUCCCCCUGUGAAAGGCAGGUUAUCCACGCGUUACUCACCCGUCCGCCACUAAACUGUAAAGUUCAGACCGAAAUCAUCACUAAACAGUCCCGUUCGACUUGCAUGUGUUAGGCACGCCGCCAGCGUUCAUC
rnacentral:rRNA from 1 species